UUACACACUAUAAAAAGGAAAGUAGAACUUACACUGCUUUUACAGAGAGUCUUCGUUAGCUGAGAGAAGGUAUUGAAAGAAAGUUUGAAAAUGGCCUUGGAGUGUUGAUGCCAAUAUGAGGUAUCAACGGGUUCGCCCGUUAUAGCGAUACAGUAUUAACAUUGUAGUUGAAUGGCGUACUGGAAUUCAUU
rnacentral:ncRNA from 1 species